rnacentral:rRNA from 1 species
UACAGAGGGGGCAAGCGUUGUUCGGAAUUACUGGGCGUAAAGGGCGCGUAGGCGGCCUUCUAAGUCGAACGUGAAAUCCCCGGGCUCAACCCGGGAACUGCGUCCGAUACUGGAAGGCUUGAAUCCGGGAGAGGGAUGCGGAAUUCCAGGUGUAGCGGUGAAAAUGCGUAGAUAUCUGGAGGAACACCGGUGGCGAAGGCGGCAUCCUGGACCGGUAGUUGACGCUGAGGCGCGAAAGCCAGGGGAGCAAAGCGGG